UACGGAGGGAGCUAGCGUUGUUCGGAAUUACUGGGCGUAAAGCGCGUGUAGGUGGUUUGUUAAGUUGAAUGUGAAAUCCCCGGGCUCAACCUGGGAACUGCAUCCAAAACUGGCAAGCUAGAGUAGGGCAGAGGGUGGUGGAAUUUCCUGUGUAGCGGUGAAAUGCGUAGAUAUAGGAAGGAACACCAGUGGCGAAGGCGACCACCUGGGCUCAUACUGACACUGAGGUGCGAAAGCGUGGGGAGCAAACAGG
rnacentral:rRNA from 1 species